GCAGUCGUGGUCGAGUGGUUAAGGCGAUGGACUUGAAAUCCAUUGGGGUCUCCCCGUUCAGGUUCGAAUCGUGUCGAUUGCC
rfam:Ixodes scapularis strain Wikel colony gcontig_1108378470772, whole genome shotgun sequence.